GGGCCCUUAGCUCAUUUGGUAGAGCGCUGCCUUUGCAAGGCAGAGGUGACCGGUUCGAGCCCGGUAGGGUCCA
rfam:Bdellovibrionales bacterium GWA1_52_35 gwa1_scaffold_11, whole genome shotgun sequence.